rnacentral:rRNA from 1 species
UACGUAGGUGGCGAGCGUUGUCCGGAUUUACUGGGCGUAAAGAGCGCGCAGGCGGUCGUUCAAGUCGCGUGUGAAAGCCCCCGGCUCAACUGGGGAGGGUCACGCGAUACUGAUCGACUCGAAGGCAGGAGAGGGUAGUGGAAUUCCCGGUGUAGUGGUGAAAUGCGUAGAGAUCGGGAGGAACAUCAGUUGCGAAGGCGGCUCUCUGGACCAGUACUGACGCUGAGGCACGAAAGCGUGGGGAGCAAACAGG